GGUUAAGCGACUAAGCGUACACGGUGGAUGCCCUGGCAGUCAGAGGCGAUGAAGGACGUGCUAAUCUGCGAAAAGCGUCGGUAAGGUGAUAUGAACCGUUAUAACCGGCGAUGUCCGAAUGGGGAAACCCAGUGCAAUUCGUUGCACUAUCGUUAACUGAAUACAUAGGUUAACGAGGCGAACCGGGGGAACUGAAACAUCUAAGUACCCCGAGGAAAAGAAAUCAACCGAGAUUCCCCCAGUAGCGGCGAGCGAACGGGGAGCAGCCCAGAGUCUGAAUCAGCUUGUGUGUUAGUGGAACGGUCUGGAAAGUCCGACGGUACAGGGUGAUAGUCCCGUACACCAAAAUGCACAGGUUGUGAACUCGAAGAGUAGGGCGGGACACGUGGUAUCCUGUCUGAAUAUGGGGGGACCAUCCUCCAAGGCUAAAUACUCCUGACUGACCGAUAGUGAACCAGUACCGUGAGGGAAAGGCGAAAAGAACCCCGGCGAGGGGAGUGAAAAAGAACCUGAAACCGUGUACGUACAAGCAGUGGGAGCACCUUCGGGUGUGACUGCGUACCUUUUGUAUAAUGGGUCAGCGACUUAUAUUCUGUAGCAAGGUUAACCGUAUAGGGAGCCGCAGGGAAACCGAGUCUUAACUGGGCGUUAAGUUGCAGGGUAUAGACCCGAAACCCGGUGAUUCUAGCCAUGGGCAGGUUGAAGGUUGGGUAACACUAACUGGAGGACCGAACCGACUAAUGUUGAAAAAUUAGCGGAUGACUUGUGGCUGGGGGUGAAAGGCCAAUCAAACCGGGAGAUAGCUGGUUCUCCCCGAAAGCUAUUUAGGUAGCGCCUCGUGAACUCAUCUUCGGGGGUAGAGCACUGUUUCGGCUAGGGGGUCAUCCCGACUUACCAACCCGAUGCAAACUACGAAUACCGAAGAAUGUUAUCACGGGAGACACACGGCGGGUGCUAACGUCCGUCGUGAAGAGGGAAACAACCCAGACCGCCAGCUAAGGUCCCAAAGUCAUGGUUAAGUGGGAAACGAUGUGGGAAGGCACAGACAGCCAGGAUGUUGGCUUAGAAGCAGCCAUCAUUUAAAGAAAGCGUAAUAGCUCACUGGUCGAGUCGGCCUGCGCGGAAGAUGUAACGGGGCUAAACCAUGCACCGAAGCUGCGGCAGCGACACUAUGUGUUGUUGGGUAGGGGAGCGUUCUGUAAGCCUGCGAAGGUGACCUGUGAGGGUUGCUGGAGGUAUCAGAAGUGCGAAUGCUGACAUAAGUAACGAUAAAGCGGGUGAAAAGCCCGCUCGCCGGAAGACCAAGGGUUCCUGUCCAACGUUAAUCGGGGCAGGGUGAGUCGACCCCUAAGGCGAGGCCGAAAGGCGUAGUCGAUGGGAAACAGGUUAAUAUUCCUGUACUUGGUGUUACUGCGAAGGGGGGACGGAGAAGGCUAUGUUAGCCGGGCGACGGUUGUCCCGGUUUAAGCAUGUAGGCUGAUUGUCCAGGCAAAUCCGGAUAAUCAAGGCUGAGGUGUGAUGACGAGGCACUACGGUGCUGAAGUAACAAAUGCCCUGCUUCCAGGAAAAGCCUCUAAGCAUCAGGUAACAUCAAAUCGUACCCCAAACCGACACAGGUGGUCAGGUAGAGAAUACCAAGGCGCUUGAGAGAACUCGGGUGAAGGAACUAGGCAAAAUGGUGCCGUAACUUCGGGAGAAGGCACGCUGGUGUGUAGGUGAAGCCCCUGCGGGUGGAGCUGAGACCAGUCGAAGAUACCAGCUGGCUGCAACUGUUUAUUAAAAACACAGCACUGUGCAAACACGAAAGUGGACGUAUACGGUGUGACGCCUGCCCGGUGCCGGAAGGUUAAUUGAUGGGGUUAUCCGUAAGGAGAAGCUCUUGAUCGAAGCCCCGGUAAACGGCGGCCGUAACUAUAACGGUCCUAAGGUAGCGAAAUUCCUUGUCGGGUAAGUUCCGACCUGCACGAAUGGCGUAAUGAUGGCCAGGCUGUCUCCACCCGAGACUCAGUGAAAUUGAACUCGCUGUGAAGAUGCAGUGUACCCGCGGCAAGACGGAAAGACCCCGUGAACCUUUACUAUAGCUUGACACUGAACAUUGAGCCUUGAUGUGUAGGAUAGGUGGGAGGCUUUGAAGCGUGGACGCCAGUCUGCGUGGAGCCAACCUUGAAAUACCACCCUUUAAUGUUUGAUGUUCUAACGUUGGCCCCUGACCGGGGUUGCGGACAGUGUCUGGUGGGUAGUUUGACUGGGGCGGUCUCCUCCCAAAGCGUAACGGAGGAGCACGAAGGUUAGCUAAUCCUGGUCGGACAUCAGGAGGUUAGUGCAAUGGCAUAAGCUAGCUUGACUGCGAGCGUGACGGCGCGAGCAGGUGCGAAAGCAGGUCAUAGUGAUCCGGUGGUUCUGAAUGGAAGGGCCAUCGCUCAACGGAUAAAAGGUACUCCGGGGAUAACAGGCUGAUACCGCCCAAGAGUUCAUAUCGACGGCGGUGUUUGGCACCUCGAUGUCGGCUCAUCACAUCCUGGGGCUGAAGUAGGUCCCAAGGGUAUGGCUGUUCGCCAUUUAAAGUGGUACGCGAGCUGGGUUUAGAACGUCGUGAGACAGUUCGGUCCCUAUCUGCCGUGGGCGCUGGAGAAUUGAGGGGGGCUGCUCCUAGUACGAGAGGACCGGAGUGGACGCAUCACUGGUGUUCGGGUUGUCAUGCCAAUGGCACUGCCCGGUAGCUAAAUGCGGAAGAGAUAAGUGCUGAAAGCAUCUAAGCACGAAACUUGCCCCGAGAUGAGUUCUCCCUGAGACUUUAAGUCUCCUGAAGGAACGUUGAAGACGACGACGUUGAUAGGCCGGGUGUGUAAGCGCAGCGAUGCGUUGAGCUAACCGGUACUAAUGAACCGUGAGGCUUAACCUU
rnacentral:rRNA from 1 species